rnacentral:rRNA from 1 species
UACGUAGGGCGCAAGCGUUAUCCGGAAUUAUUGGGCGUAAAGAGCUCGUAGGCGGUUUGUCGCGUCUGCCGUGAAAGUCCGGGGCUCAACUCCGGACUGCGGUGGGUGGCGGGCAGACUAGAGUGAUGUAGGGGGAGACUGGAAUUCCUGGUGUAGCGGUGAAAUGCGCAGAUAUCAGGAGGAACACCGAUGGCGAAGGCAGGUCUCUGGGCAUUAACUGACGCUGAGGAGCGAAAGCAUGGGGAGCGAACAGG